UCCUCAGUAGCUCAAUAGGCAGAGCAACCGGCUGUUAACCGGUGGGUUCUAGGUUCAAGUCCUAGCUGAGGAGCCA
rnacentral:tRNA from 1 species